UUUAGAUCAAGAACCAAAGAAAUCGAAGCUAGAUCGGGGAAAAACCAAAAUCGUCACUAAUUAUCCGAUUUUAAUUUUUCACAGUCCGAGAUUUUGGAGUCACGUUACGAGCUCGGGGAUCAUCAGCAUAGUCUAUCACACUAUCGACUUCUUUUGGUAUUUUGUUAAAGUUUGAACUUUAUCUUAUGGCAUGUAUAGGCUUGAUUAUGUUUUUGGUUAGUUUUGGAUCAUUAAUAUAUAAAUAGCCAUGCGAAAAUGGUUUAAUUUC